rnacentral:rRNA from 1 species
CAGUCGUACCUUCGGGCAGUGUUAUAGCCUUGUGUUGUAUGUCUUGGUUGGGACUGAGGAACGCAGCGCGCCAUUUUGGCCGGGGGUCGCUCCUCUCGACACGCGCUUAGGAUGCUGGCAUAAUGGCUUUAAGCGGCCCGUCUUGAAACACGGACCAAGGAGUCUAGCAUAUAUGCGAGUGUU